rnacentral:rRNA from 1 species
ACGAACGCUGGCGGCAUGCCUAACACAUGCAAGUCGAACGAGACCUUCGGGUCUAGUGGCGCACGGGUGCGUAACGCGUGGGAACCUGCCCUUAGGUUCGGAAUAACUCCCCGAAAGGGGUGCUAAUACCGGAUAAUGUCUUCGGACCAAAGAUUUAUCGCCUUUGGAUGGGCCCGCGUUGGAUUAGCUAGUUGGUAGGGUAAAAGCCUACCAAGGCGACGAUCCAUAGCUGGUCUGAGAGGAUGAUCAGCCACACUGGGACUGAGAUACGGCCCAGACUCCUACGGGAGGCAGCAGUGGGGAAUAUUGGACAAUGGGCGAAAGCCUGAUCCAGCAAUGCCGCGUGAGUGAUGAAGGCCUUAGGGUUGUAAAGCUCUUUUACCCGGGAUGAUAAUGACAGUACCGGGAGAAUAAGCUCCGGCUAACUCCGUG